ACACAUGCAAGUCGAGGGGCAGCAUAAUGGAUAGCAAUAUCUAUGGUGGCGACCGGCGCACGGGUGCGUAACGCGUAUGCAACCUACCUUUAACAGGGGGAUAACACUGAGAAAUUGGUACUAAUACCCCAUAAUAUCAUAGAAGGCAUCUUUUAUGGUUGAAAAUUCCGAUGGUUAGAGAUGGGCAUGCGUUGUAUUAGCUAGUUGGUGGGGUAACGGCUCACCAAGGCGACGAUACAUAGGGGGACUGAGAGGUUAACCCCCCACACUGGUACUGAGACACGGACCAGACUCCUACGGGAGGCAGCAGUGAGGAAUAUUGGUCAAUGGACGCAAGUCUGAACCAGCCAUGCCGCGUGCAGGAUGACGGCUCUAUGAGUUGUAAACUGCUUUUGUACGAGGGUAAACGCAGAUACGUGUAUCUGUCUGAAAGUAUCGUACGAAUAAGGAUCGGCUAACUCCGUGCCAGCAGCCGCGGUAAUACGGAGGAUUCAAGCGUUAUCCGGAUUUAUUGGGUUUAAAGGGUGCGUAGGCGGUUUGAUAAGUUAGAGGUGAAAUUUCGGGGCUCAACCCUGAACGUGCCUCUAAUACUGUUGAGCUAGAGAGUAGUUGCGGUAGGCGGAAUGUAUGGUGUAGCGGUGAAAUGCUUAGAGAUCAUACAGAACACCGAUUGCGAAGGCAGCUUACCAAACUAUAUCUGACGUUGAGGCACGAAAGCGUGGGGAGCAAACAGGAUUAGAUACCCUGGUAGUCCACGCAGUAAACGAUGAUAACUCGUUGUCGGCGAUACACAGUCGGUGACUAAGCGAAAGCGAUAAGUUAUCCACCUGGGGAGUACGUUCGCAAGAAUGAAACUCAAAGGAAUUGACGGGGGCCCGCACAAGCGGAGGAACAUGUGGUUUAAUUCGAUGAUACGCGAGGAACCUUACCCGGGCUUGAAAG
rnacentral:rRNA from 1 species